rnacentral:rRNA from 1 species
GAUUAUGGCUCAGAACGAACGCUGGCGGCAGGCUUAACACAUGCAAGUCGAGCGCCCCGCAAGGGGAGCGGCGGACGGGUGAGUAACGCGUGGGAACCUUUCUUUCGGUACGGAAUAACCUGGGGAAACUCGGGCUAAUACCGCAUACGCCCGCAAGGGGAAAGAUUUAUCGCCGAUAGGUGGGCCCGCGUUGGAUUAGCUAGUUGGUGGGGUAACGGCCUACCAAGGCGACGAUCCCAUAGCUGGUCUGAGAGGACGACCAGCCACACUGGGACUGAGACACGGCCCAGACUCCUACGGGAGGCAGCAGUGGGGAAUCUUGGACAAUGGGGGAAACCCUGAUCCAGCCCAUGCCGCGUGAGUGAUGAAGGCCUUAGGGUUGUAAAGCUCUUUCGCACGCGACGAUGAUGACGGUAGCGUGAGAAGAAGCCCCGGCUAACUUCGUGCCAGCCGCCGC